rnacentral:misc_RNA from 1 species
GAUGAGAACGUAGCGAAAUGCGAUAAGUAAUGUGAAUUGCAGAAUUCAGUGAAUCAUCGAAUCUUUGAACGCACAUUGCGCCCCCUGGUAUUCCGUGGGGCAUGCCUGUUCGAGCGUCAUUUCACCACUCAAGCCUCGCUUGGUAUUGGGCAUCGCGGUCCGCCGCGCGCCUCAAAUCGACCGGCUGGGUCUUCUGUCCCCUAAGCGUUGUGGAAACUAUUCGCUAAAGGGUGUUCGGGAGGCUACGCCGUAAAACAACCCCAUUUCUAAGGUUGACCUCGGAUCAGGUAGGGAUACCCGCUGAACUUAAGCAUAUCAAUAAGCGGAGGA